GAAUUUAGCAGUAUAUACAUACAUUCUUUCUUGUUUAAACUUUUAGUUAAAAAGCAUUAAAACUAUAAUUAAUAAGCUUAAGUUAUGGACAAAUAUUACCAGAAAGACACUCUAGUAAGCAUUUUUCAUGAAUUGUUUCAUUUGAUCUUUAAGAAAAUUCUUAGGUGACAGGUUCUAUUAUUAAUUCCACUUUACAGAUGAGAAAAUGGAGGAACUGAGAGGUUAAAUAUAUGGUUGCAGUUUGCAUAUCUGUUUUUGAUGACAAGCUUAAAAAAUUUUUUGCUGAGUGGCUGGCAAGAUGGCCAAAUAGGAACAGCUCCAGCCUGCAGCUCCCAGUGAGAUCAAUGCAGAAGGUGGGUGAUUUCUGCAUUUCCAACUGAGGUACCCGGCUCAUCUCAUUGGGACUACUUAGACAGUGGGUGCAGCCCACGGAGAGCGAGCUGAAGCAGGGUGGGGCAUCACCUCACUGAGGAAGUGCGAGGAGUCGGGGAACUCCCUCCCCUAGCCAAGGGAAGCCAGGAGGGACUGCGCCAUGAGGAAUGUGCCUUCCGGCCCAGAUACUAUGCUUUCCCCACGGUCUUCACAACCUGCAGACCAGGAGAGUCCCUCGGGUGCCUACACCACCAGGUCCCUGGGUUUCAAGCACAAAACUGCGUGGCUGUUUGGGCAGACAUUGAGCUCGCUUCAGAGUUUUCUUUUUUUUCAUACCUCAGUGGUGCCUGGAAUGCCAGCGAGACAGAACCAUUCACUCCCUGGAAAGGGGGCUGAAACCAGGGAGCCAAGUGGUCUGGCUCAGUGGAUUCCACUCCCAUGGAGACCACCAAGGCUCCACUGGCACAAGAGUGGCAGAGAAGGAGAGAAGAGAAGCAGCAGCCAGAUAUUGGAGAGAAGCAGCUUAAGAGGGAUGAUUUGGUGGCAGGGACUUCAGAGAAGAGCUGCAGGGGGAUGGCCAGACCCCAAGGGAAGAUCACAUUCCCACUCCAUACCCUUUCCAGCUCCCUUUCCCACUGAAAGCCACUUUCAUCAGCAAUAAACUUCUCUGUAUUCACCACCUUCCACUUUCGUUUGUGCAACCUGAAUCUUCAUGGAUGCUGAACAAUAACUCUGGAGUCACGUGUGCAGAUGCUUGACUGUUUAACACUUAAGCCAUCUGUGGACAGCAAAGCUAAAAGAGCACUGUAACACGUCUUCUGGGGCUCCAGGGGUCAUAGGUAUCCCCCUAGAUGCUGCCUUGGGGCCACACAGAAUUCACCUGUGUGCUCCUCCUCCCGCAAGGGGUUAAGAGCUGCAGGCCGAGUAAGCGAGGCCCCUCUGUCACGAGGCCCAUGAAGGGGUCAGGGAAAAUUUCUUGUUUCAAUAGUAUGUUUUCUUUCUCUGAAGCUGUUCUCUUUCCAUUUGAUUUUCAGCAGGCUGGCCAUAAUGCACGUGGGGUUGUAGAGAUUCUUGAAAAAUGCACUUACAUGUUCUUUGCCAGUGUUGAAGAAUUCUAAUAUCUCUUCUGUAGUAUUAUUUCUCUCCUCUACUACUGGGACUCCAAAUUAUAUAUAAUUAGAGGUUUUCAUCGUGCCUGUUUUGCUCUUUUUUCUGUUUUCAGCUUUCGUCGUCUUUCUGCACUUGUAUCACUAAUUCUGUUUUCUAAUUACUACUCCUCUGUUCUUCUCUG
rnacentral:lncRNA from 1 species